GGUUAAUUUUUUUGACACACGCCUCAGAGCUUCGGUGUCACUGAUGUGGAUAAAUGCUCAAACAUUGACUGUUAUAUCUGCUAUCUGCCAAAGAAGAUUUAAGCCAAUUGCUGUUUCUCCUGUGUUGUUUUUUGUUUGGUUCCCUGGCUGGCCGGUCUCAGAGGUGUGUGCAGCAUAUAGAACGGAGGUCAUAGAAGCCUUUAGUAUCGCCACGUAUACAGCACAGUGGAAUUCUUUUUUUCACAUACCCCAACUGAGGAGGUUGGGGUCAGAGUGCAGGGGCAGCUAUAAUACAGCACCCUUGGAGCAGGGAGGGUUGAGGGCCUUGCUCAAGGGCCCAGUAGUGGCAGCUUGGCUGGGCUCGGUCCGGUUGGCUGGGGCUUUGUUUUGUAUUUCUUUUUUUUAUAUAACACUUUCCCAGCCUUACAUUGCCAGCUUGAUUCCUAGUGCUUGCUUUCUGUGUAUGGAAUCAAUGUUUGCCAUGUUUUCUUGAAGUGGUUAUGAGAGAAGGUUUAUGUUUUGAGUUGUUAGUUUUGUUUUCUUUUCAGUAUGUAUUAUCAGGGGAAUGUCCCCCUAUGCUUUUAGGGUCUGUCACAGGAAACUAGCUAAUAUAGUAAGAGUGUGAGCUGGCUGUUAGCAUCUUGGAGAGCUGGGACCAAUUUUGAUGAGUUAUAUACAUAAAUCAUUUCAUGUCUAUAUGUGUUUGAUUUACACAACAAUCAUUUGCUGUCCUAUUUUUGUAAUGAAUCUUUGUAC